GCUGACGUGGCUCAAUGGAAGAGCGUUUGCCUCCUAAGCAAAAGGUUGUGGGUUCGAGUCCCAUCUUCAGCU